UGGUUUAUUUUGAAACCAAUAUUGGGUUAUGCGAUAAACGUGUAACUGAAAAACGAUAAAUCGAAAAAAGAAAAAAAAAAUAAAAGUUUUUGCAUCCGAACCACAACACAACAGCGGGAAGAACCGUCAGGAAAGCCCAGCCGAGGUUACGGAACACAACAAGCUCAUCAGGGUUCUAGGCUAGCAGCUUCAAAGAUGAUGCGUGUGCCUACACCUACUAUUGCUCCCGGUUGGCGUUCUUCGCGUAGGUAUUGGUCGUCGGGGAACCACGAAGAGCAGACCGACCACGGCCUUCCCUGUGACAGCCGGAGGAUUGGCGUUCAUAAUUACGCAGCUACCGUCAUAUGGCUGCUGACUGUUGUGAGGGCUCCUACGUCGGCCCGUAAUGUGCUUGGUCUGGCUCAGAAUCAGGCCCAAGCUGAUCGGCAAAAAACGAAAGGUCGAAGAUUUAGAUGCGGCAAAAAAAAACUUUGAUGGAGCCGUCUGUUGAUGCGCUGCUGAUGGUGACAACCCAAGCAACCAGAAUUCCCUUAAAAAGGUUCCAUAGAAGCUUAAUCAGCUCUCGUUUGUGUCUGAAGAGAAUGCUUAUCAGCCCAAAAUUUAAGUUCUUAAAGCUACUUUCAAGUUCGUUUAGGGGGCUGUAGAGAACGCUAUUCAGCUUCUAAGAGAAUGUCAAGAAACUUCUACGCGCCGAAAAAAAAAUCCGAUUGACAGAUUGCUCUGACAACCACAUGUCAGAUUGCUAGGUUGCCGGUCUAUCAUGGUCUAUCUCAUUGAUUUUAAUUAUAUUGUUUUGAUUACAAAAGCUGCUUACACGCCUAGAGAAUUGAACCGCUGCUCUCUAGGUUGCAAUGAAACUCACCAGCCUCUCGACCAAUCCAGCAAUAGUUAAUUGCCACUGUAAUGAUUAGUAUUUAAACUUAAUGUCAUUUGAGAUGAUUGAGUGGGUUGGUCAAAAGAAGGUACUUUAUUUCGUUCAAAGGACUUUCAGUACACAAUAGGAAUCAUAACAAAAAUUCGCAUCAUCAAAAAUUUAUUCGAAUAUCUUAACAUUUAUUAGAAAAAUUCGAAAAAAUUUUGAAUUCCAUUUGUAAAUAUCAGUACAGAUAUAAACAAAACAAAUACCAUGACAAGAAAUUGACAGACAUUUUUGACAUGUCGCUUAGAAUUCCCAUAUAGGUUCUUUAAAACACCUUCAAGUAUCUUAAUGGUGCGCUUUAGAAUGUUACGCGAACGUUAUCGACCUUCUUGGAAAAGAUUUUUGACAUGUCGCUUAGAUUUCCCAUAUAGGUUCUUUAAAACACCUUCAAGUAUCUUAAUGGUGCGCUUUAGAAUGUUACGCGAACGUUAUGGAUCUUCUUGAAAGAAGUUCCAUUAAAAGCGCUUAGAAGCUCCGUUAUCGAUAGUUUAACCUUUCAAAGGGCGAUGGAAGUUCCUGAGUAACUUUUACGCGACAAGAGUCACCUGAAGUUCCCGUAAAACAUUUUUUCAGCCAAAUGUGAACUUCGGAGUUCCAUCUUCAAGUAAAAACGCGACUUUUGGUUGCUUGGGAAUGCAGGAUUUAAUUUUAAACGAAUUUGGCAAACAAUAAAGUGAAUGUUUUCAGCACGAUAUUCGAGAAUUUUUCUUAUUAGAAAGUGUGUGUAGUAUACUUGUGCUAGUGAGCGCGCAUCCUCCCGCGAGAGUUGACUCGAGCGGUUUGAUAGUUCGGUAUAGUAUAAAUGUAUGCGUAAGUACGAAGCAUAGCACACAUUCCCGCGAGAGUUGAUUCGAGCAGUCAACGGUCGGCAUCAGUCAAGACGCGGCAACCAUGCAACUCGGACACAGGAUGAGUUUGGAGGCGCAAUCCUUUUGGUGGGUGACUCCUGAUGGAAAUUGAAGUUACACAUUUGGCGACCGACAGGACUGGGAUUAACAUUUUUUUUCCUCAGUUUUGAUCGAAAUAAACAUAUCGAAGAACCUGUAACGGAAGUCACCCACCAGAGGAACGAAAAAAAAAAGAUUGGGAUUCCAUUUUGUGUACACACAAAACUUUCGAGGCUCCACUUAGCAAAAAUGAGCUGUUACUUUCCAUUAGCAAAAAUUUUUUUUUACUGUCGAGUUAGCACUUUCCAGGGAGAUGGCAUCCCUAUCCUUUGUCAUUGAAUUUGACAACCAUCAAAAUUACGGGCCCACGAUUUUGUGGGCCCAUAACAAACCUGACAUUUUGCUGUCAAGGACCCGAACUAAAUGUCAAAUGCUAGAGAAGUAUGGUUGAUAGCACACUAACACAUCAAUCAUUCUGAUUCCUCAUUGGUUGAAAUUUUGACUUUUGAGACUUCGUACUGAUUUGAGAGAAAAACACCAUAAACGUCUCUCCCGAUGGAUAGAAAAAAAAGAAAAAGAUUCUUGUUCGAAAGAAGAACUAGAUUGCCACCUCCCUGGCACUUUCCCAAAUUGUCGUGACUUUUGCUCAAUUUGAGUAAAAUUAACUAAUUUACUACUAAUUUUAGCAUUUAUAGUAGCAUGGACUCAAACUUUUAGCCUGUGCCCAAACCGCGUUCUUUAAGUGCUCAAAUUUUAGAAAGGCGACACAGGCGGGAACCUGUUAGAUUAUUCUUGUUUUCAUUUUGCACCGCGCGCGGGUAAAACAUUUUUGUUCUGCUCCUCAGUUUUUCGUCGUUUGGUUAGAAUUUGGAUUAGGAUCAACAGCAUCUCGUGGGAGGGAAUGCUGCAGAAGUAGCCAUUCUUCCUCAAGCGGAACGGUUACCGGUUCGGUAACUAGUGGAAAAAUAGCGGAAUCCUAACGCUGCACAUACUGGUACGCGAUACCGAGAAAGGAGGAGAAAUGGUGAAGCGCAAAACCGAACCCGGAAGCAGCAGUAGUGGUUCCGCCGGGUUGUGUGUGUUGUUGACCUGUUUGGUGGUCAAUGUUUUUACUAUCAGUGGUGAAGAUUUAAUAGAACGCGAUGAUGGAAUACACUUUUGGAAACCCGCAGAGUGAUGCGAACGAUAAUAAAAAAAGAAGAUUAAAAAAAAAUCAAAUCUCACUUUUUAAUUUUUUGAAAAUGAAAACCCUUCAUUAAAAAUAAUUUAAUUUUGGAUUUCACUCAAAUUCGAGCAAACGUUAGAAAAAUAAAUUUUGCUAAAAUUUUAGCAAAUAAAGGUUUUUGUUUGCUUGAAAAUUAGUAAACAUUCAG